rnacentral:rRNA from 1 species
GGUUGCGAUCAUACCAGCACUAAUGCACCGGAUCCCAUUAGAACUCCGCAGUUAAGCAUGCUUGGGCGAGAGUUGUACUAGGAUGGGUGACCCCCUGGGAAGUCCUCGUGUUGCAACUCC